AUUCCUACGGGAGGCAGCAGUGGGGAAUAUUGGUCAAUGGACGGAAGUCUGAACCAGCCAUUCCGCGUGCAGGAAGAAGAUUCUAUGGAUUGUAAACUGCUUUUAGCGGAGAAGAAAAGCCUUCAUUGAUGGGGGUCUGACGGUAUCUGCGGAAUAAGCACCGGCUAACUCCGUGCCAGCAGCCGCGGUAAUAAU
rnacentral:rRNA from 1 species